rnacentral:rRNA from 1 species
AAAUUACACCGUAAAUUUAAUUGUUAAUCUAAAAGGGUACAGCCCUUUAGACUAAGGAUACAACCUUCAUUAGAGAGUAAAUCACAUUAAUAACCAUAGUUGGCCUAAAAGCAGCCAUCAAUUAAGAAAGCGUUCAAGCUCAACAACAAUCAAAUUCUUAAUUUAAUAAAUUUUCAUUAACUCCUAAUUUACCACUGGACUAAUCUAUUAACUAAUAGAAGAAAUACUGUUAAUAUGAGUAACAAGAUUUAUAUCUCCCAGCACAAGUUUAUGUCAGACCAAAUAAUAACUGAUAGUUAACAACCAAAUAAAUAUAAUCCCACAUAAAUUAUUUAUUAAAUCACUGUUAACCCAACACAGGCGUGCAACAAAGGAAAGAUUAAAAGAAGUAAAAGGAACUCGGCAAACACAAACCCCGCCUGUUUACCAAAAACAUCACCUCUAGCAUUACUAGUAUUAGAGGCACUGCCUGCCCAGUGACAACUGUUAAACGGCCGCGGUAUCCUGACCGUGCAAAGGUAGCAUAAUCAUUUGUUCCUUAAAUAGGGACUUGUAUGAAUGGCCACACGAGGGUUUAACUGUCUCUUGCUUCUAAUCAGUGAAAUUGACCUUUCCGUGAAGAGGCGGAAAUACAUUAAUAAGACGAGAAGACCCUAUGGAGCUUUAAUUGACCUAAUCCAACAGAAUAACAAUAUACUCCACCAAGGACCAACAAAUAUUCUAAUUGGAUUAUAAAUUUCGGUUGGGGUGACCUCGGAGCAUAAAAUAACCUCCGAGAAACAAAUACCAAGACUAACAAGUCAAAGUAACACUUUACAAAUUGAUCCAGUCUUACUGAUCAACGGAACAAGUUACCCUAGGGAUAACAGCGCAAUCCUAUUCUAGAGUCCCUAUCGACAAUAGGGUUUACGACCUCGAUGUUGGAUCAGGACAUCCCAAUGGUGCAGCAGCUAUUAAUGGUUCGUUU